GUGCUUGCUUCAGCAGUGCAUAGACUAAAAUAGGAAUGAUACAGAGAAGAUUAGCAAGGCCCCUGCACAAGUGUGACACACAAAUUCAUGAAGAGUCCAUAUUUAU
ensembl:snRNA U6 U6 spliceosomal RNA